rnacentral:pre_miRNA from 1 species
AAAAAGGCAAACCCUGAGUUUCCGUGUCCAACUUUAACUGUCCGUCUUAUAUAUUUUUUUUAUAAUUCGUAUUUUCAUUGUUGUUAGAUGAUAAAACAUGAUUAAUAUUUUAUGCGUGACUUGUCUUUUUAAUUUUUUUCAUAUUUUUUUCAAAUAAGACGGACUGUCAAACAUUGGACACGGAAAUU